rnacentral:lncRNA from 1 species
UUGAAGAGAAAAAUAACAAUCCAACAUUUAUUUUUGAUACUGUUGCAAAGCUUACUAAAAAGCAGCAUUCCCCAAGAGGAUGGCAUUCACUCCGUAAACACAGACAUCCUCAUAGAUAUCAUCCUAACCAACCUGCCCUCCAAAUACACCUCUGCUGUCUUCAACCAGGAUUUCAGAGAUCACUGCCUCAAUGAAUAUGUCCGUAAUGGGUCUGCGGUCAAACGACCACCCCUCAUCACUGUCAAACGCUCACUGGAACACUUCAGCGAACCAGGCUUUCUAUUCGACCUGGCCCGGGUAUCCUGGAAGGAUAUUGACCUCAUUCCGUCAGUAGAAGAUGCCUGGUUAUUCUUUAAAAGUGAUUUCCUCACUAUCUUAAAUAAGCGUGCACCAUACAAAAAAUGUAGGACCAGGAACAGAUAUAUCCCUUGGUUCACUCCAGACUUGACUGCCACUGACCAGCACAAAAACAUCCUGUGGCGUACUGCAUUAGCAUCAAAUAUCCCCCACAGUAAGCAACUUUCCAGGGAAGUUAGGAAUCAAUAUACACAAACAGUUAGGAAAACAAAGGCUAGCUUUUUCAAACAGAAAUUUGCAUCCUGCAGCACAAACUCCAAAAAGUUUUGGGACACAGUAAAGUCCAUGGAGAAUAAGAGCACCUCCCAGCUGUCCACUGCACUGAGGUUCGGAAACACUGUCACCACCGAUAAAUCCACAAUAAUCGAGAAUUUCAAUAAGCAUUUUUCUACAGCUGGCCAUACUUUCCACCUGGCCACCCCUACCCUGGUCAACAGCCCUGCACUCCCCAUAGCAACAUGCCCAAGCCUCCCCCAUUUCUCCUUCACCCAAACCCAGAUAGCUGAUGUUCUGAAAGAGCUGCAAAAUCUGGACCCAUACAAAUCAGCAGGGCUAGACAAUCUGGACCCUCUCUUUUUAAAACGAUCAGCCGAAAUUGUUGCAACCCCUAUUACUAGCCUGUUCAACCUCUCUUUCGUAAUGUCUGAGAUGCCCAAAGAUUGGAAAGCUGCCGCGGUCCUCCCCCUCUUCAAAAGGGGGAGUCACUCUAGACCCAAACUGCUAUAUCUAUCCUACCCUGCCUUUCCAAGGUCUUCAAAAGCCAAGUUAACAAACAGAUCACUGACCAUUUGUCACGUUCUGACCUUUAUUUCCUUUGUUUUGUAUUUAUUUAGUAUGGUCAGGGCGUGA